AGAGUUUGAUCCUGGCUCAGAUUGAACGCUGGCGGCAUGCCUUACACAUGCAAGUCGAACGGCAGCACGGGAGCUUGCUCCUGGUGGCGAGUGGCGAACGGGUGAGUAAUAUAUCGGAACGUACCCUAGAGUGGGGGAUAACGCAGCGAAAGUUGCGCUAAUACCGCAUACGAUCUACGGAUGAAAGUGGGGGAUCGCAAGACCUCAUGCUCAUGGAGCGGCCGAUAUCUGAUUAGCUAGUUGGUAGGGUAAAAGCCUACCAAGGCUUCGAUCAGUAGCUGGUCUGAGAGGACGACCAGCCACACUGGAACUGAGACACGGUCCAGACUCCUACGGGAGGCAGCAGUGGGGAAUUUUGGACAAUGGGCGCAAGCCUGAUCCAGCAAUGCCGCGUGAGUGAAGAAGGCCUUCGGGUUGUAAAGCUCUUUUGUCAGGGAAGAAACGGUGGACUCUAAUACAGAUCACUAAUGAGCGGUACCUGAAGAAUAAGCACCCGGCUAACUACGUGCCAGCAGCCGCGGUAAUACGUAGGGUGCAGGCGUUAAUCGGAAUUACUGGGCGUAAAGCGUGCGCAGGCGGUUGUGCAAGACAGAUGUGAAAUCCCCGGGCUCAACCUGGGAAUUGCAUUUGUGACUGCACGGCUAGAGUGUGUCAGAGGGGGGGUAGAAUUCCACGUGUAGCAGUGAAAUGCGUAGAGAUGGGGGAGGAAUACCGAUGGCGAAAGGCAGCCCCCUGGGAUAACACUGACGCUCAUGCACGAAAGCGUGGGGAGCAAACAGGAUUAGAUACCCUGGUAGUCCACGCCCUUAAACGAUGUCUACUAGUUGUUGGGUCUUAAUUUGACUUAGUAACGCAGCUAACGCGUGAAGUAGACGCCUGGGGGAGUACGGUCGCAAGAUUAAAACUCAAAGGAAUUGACGGGGACCCGCACAAGCGGUGGAUGAUGUGGAUUAAUAUCGAUGCAACGCGAAAAAACCUUACCUACCCUUGACAUGUACGGAAUCCCUGAGAGAAUUAGGGAGUGCUCGAAAGAGAGCCGUAACACAGGUGCUGCAUGGCUGUUCGUCAGCCUCGUGUCGUGAGAUGUUGGGUUAAGUCCCGCAACGAGCGCAACCCUUGUCAUUAGUUGCUACGAAAGGGCACUCUAAUGAGACUGCCGGUGACAAACCGGAGGAAGGUGGGGAUGACGUCAAGUCCUCAUGGCCCUUAUGGGUAGGGCUUCACACGUCAUACAAUGGUACAUACAGAGGGCCGCCAACCCGCGAGGGGGAGCUAAUCCCAGAAAGUGUAUCGUAGUCCGGAUUGUAGUCUGCAACUCGACUACAUGAAGUUGGAAUCGCUAGUAAUCGCGGAUCAGCAUGUCGCGGUGAAUACGUUCCCGGGUCUUGUACACACCGCCCGUCACACCAUGGGAGCGGGUUUCACCAGAAGUAGGUAGCCUAACCGUAAGGAGGGCGCUUACCACGGUGGGAUUCGUGACUGGGGUGAAGUCGUAACAAGGUAACC
rnacentral:rRNA from 1 species